rnacentral:rRNA from 1 species
UACGUAGGAUGCAAGCGUUGUCCGGAAUUAUUGGGCGUAAAGAGCGCGCAGGCGGUCUAUCAAGUCAGAUGUGAAAUCUCCCGGCUUAACCGGGAGGGGUCAUUUGAAACUGGUAGACUAGAGUACAGCAGAGGAUAGUGGAAUUCCCGGUGUAGUGGUGAAAUGCGUAGAUAUCGGGAGGAACACCAGUGGCGAAGGCGGCUAUCUGGGCUGAAACUGACGCUGAGGCGCGAAGGCUAGGGGAGCAAACAGG